AUCACAUGACAGAUGAUGUUCCCGAAGAGGUUAAAGGUCAACCGCUUCAAGAUAAUAAAGCUGUUUUGUGUUAAUCGGAGGAAAGAAGGGGAGAAAAAUGACCAAGCAGAUAUGAAGCGUCAGUAAAGUAAUCAUCAUGACGUGAGACGCCGCGUCACAAAGCGCCAUCAGUGUUUGAGCGACAGCUUAAUGUGACACACACACCACACACGAGGGAGAGCAGCGGUGUGUGAGGGACAGGCGUGGCACGCGGCACAGCAGCGAGGAACCCGCGGGGCUGAUCCCAGAUCAAGAACGUGGAAGCUGGCUCGACGCCUCUGACACGUCGCCCCGUUCUCGCUGGCGUCGGCUGGCCUACUUUUGCCCCGCUUUGCCUGUCCAUCAAAUGACAUUUUGUUUGGCUCAUUUACGUACACGGUUGUGUAUUUCUCUUUCAUUCAUGAGCCUUCGUCCCUGUUAAAUAACAUUCCUCUCUGUCGCUUGCCUUCACCUUUGACCUUUCCGCAUAACACAAAAUGAGGAAAUUCGUAUGAAUCCCAUUGAAAUACUUGGAAAUUAAGUGCUUUUACUUCUUUGACCUUUUCUAAAUGUGUGUAUUUAAUUGGAAUAUAAUUUGAGUUAUAUAAUUGGAAGAUAUCACUAUGGCAUCAUUAUAUUUCAUGAAAACUGUCAUUACUAGCAGUGCAGUCAAAUUUAAACUCUCAUUUAAGUCGCCAGAUAUGUCUGAUAAAGUGCUAACUUUGCGAGUUGGAAAAACGAGCUCAUCAUGCAUUAAUUGUGCGCUUAGUGAAGUCGAAGCAGUGAUGUAACAAGAUACGAAGAAGUGAUAUGAUGGCUCGUCAGCUGUCAGCAAGUCUUCCUGUCCUUUCUCAAAUAUAUGAGUCAGCAGAGUCAAAAUCAACGUGGAAGCAUCACAUAACGGAGUCGCUUUCUUUGGGUUAUUGAGGUGUUUGUGCACAUAAUCUGCUCCCUGGAAGUCCUGCUUUGGCUCCACCAAUGUACUCGAUCUCACAUCCAAAGUGUCCUCUGCAAGUUUCACGAGUGGAAUGUUCUCCUAAAAAGGUAGUAAAAUAUUUUUUUGUCUAAAUGAAGGUGAUUUUAUGGUUCCUUUUUUCAUAUUGUAUAGCCAAUAGCAGGGGUGCAGCCAGGAUUUUAUUUUGUUUUUAAUUUUUUUGUGCCCCCUUUAACAGUGUCAAAGCGCUUUGAGUGCCUUGGAGGUGGAAAGCGCUAUACAAGUAAAUGACCAUUUACCAUUUUUAUCAGUCCAUGUGACUGGUAUAGGUAUCGGCCAAUUUCACUCAUAGAUGAUCGGCAUCGGAACCGGCAGCAUAAAACCCUGAUCAGAGCAUCCCUACUAUAAAAACGUGUUUUGUGUUAACAUUUUUGACUUUCUGGAACAGAUUAAUUGGGUUUACGUUGUUUCUUAUGGGAAAAAGUGAUUCGGUUACAGUACAUUUCAGUUAGAGUCCGACCUCCUGGAUCAAAUUAAUGACGCUAACCAAGGUUCAACUGUAUUAUGUGUAUAUAGCAUUGUGCUGGUGUACCUGAUGUUGUGUCUCUUUCUUUAUAUGUGCAGAAUAUGUGUAUGUGUAAUGUAUUUCGGACAUUUUUCUUUUCUUUUCUUUUUUUUUUUUUUACUAAUUAGUCCUAAAAAGCAUGGAUAUUCAAAUGUGUCAGCUGCAUAGCCGCUCACUCUGUCAGUGCCAGGUGCUGUGAAUCUCUAAUGUGAGAGUUAACACGUUGGUAAUGUACACAGCAGUCACAAAACUAAUGCUUCCAGUGAGCUCUGAGUAAGUUUAUGCAUCUAUAGUUUAACGCUACAUACAGUAUAUGCUUAAACAAAACUUGGCUUGUGUAAUAUAACUUGUAGCCAAUUUUAAUU